rnacentral:lncRNA from 1 species
UUUUUUACCCUAUAUGAGGGCCCUCAUGGGGUUUUUGAUUAUGUGAUUACUUGGCCGUUUUUUUUAAUGAUUAUUUGAUUAUUAAGCCAAAUAUUUCAUGAUUAUUUGAUUACCUAGGACUGUAUUUUUAGUUUAUGAUUAUUUGAUUACUAAAGAUAAGCAAAUAUUUAAUGAUUAUGUGAUUAUAUUGGCAAAAAAAUGGUGAUUAUGUGAUUACUAGGACCCCCCCCAUGAGGGGCCUCCUAU